CAAUCAGCGUGCAGGCAGCCACCCCGCAGCCGCCGCCCCCGUCGCUUCUCCUCCUCUUCCCUCGUCCUCCUCCUCCACCCGCAACCUCCCGCCGUUGGGCCGACGCCAGCCGUGCACAUGGUGGGGAAGCAGUGAAGCACGACCACGACGAGGCGGCACGUGCGGAGGAUGCCGCCAGCGCUCGCGUGCCCUUCGCGGUGUGCUGCGCUGCGUCCGCCUUGCGUCGUCGACGCUGCGACCGCCCGAGGUAGCACAUCGCCACGCCGCUGAUGUCGCCAUCGCCGGGAGCAGCGCUGCCUUGUCGUCGCCAUCGCCGGGACCAGCGCGGCCUCGCGCGGUCGACACCGACGCCGACAUCUCCUGGUCAGCAGCCGCGAGGAGCAGCAACCCUCGCUAGGGGGGCGGCGACUACUGCAGGGGAGAGCUGGUGGCGUAGGAGGGCCCAGUUCGUCAAGGAGGACGCUGACUAGCAUGGCAACUUCUUCCUCUUCUUUGCAAUGGAGGGCGUUGUGAGUUUCGUUCGGCCGCCGUUGUUCUUGGCCAAAAAAACAUGCUACAGAGAGUGGUGCAGCGCCCAAUUCGUCUAGGAGGGCACCCAAGACCAGCCCAGGUGUCUUCCGUCCUUCUCCUUUUUUUCCCUGUAGAGGGAACCAUCCAUCCAAGAGCACAGCCAGUUAUCUUAUCCUGAGACGAACUGGAAGGAUAAGGAGUUACGACAAGGUGGAGAUAGUGAAUCGGCAAGAUGCAAUGCUUAUCCAUUUAUUUUCUGGUCCCAUAAAAAGUAGGAUUCCUGUGGAAAACCACAAUCUCCCAUUUGCUGGCCUUUUGGGCUCAUCUUGCACUUUUCUGGUAUAGGAUAAACUAGGUAUGGGAGAAUUAUGAAUUUCACCUGCCAUAUAAACGGACUCAAUGCACACAAGAAGUAUAUUUAGUUUGUAAGGCAAACAAAUCCAGCCAAUAAAAUAUGUUCCUGUGUUUUCUUAAUUGUGAAGAGAAUUGUUGAAUGCCUUAGUUUCUCAUGAAUUUAGUUUAUAUUUCAGUUGCAAGUAUAUGUAUAUUACUUCUGCUGCUUGUAGUUAUGCUCUUGGCUUAGAUAAUUUUCUUAAAAAUUAAUUACAAGUCUACAAUGCUUCUCUGAACUAUUUGGAGUCCGGUUCUUGGAUGAUGUUUGUGCCAGCUACAAGAGCCUAAAAUGCAGUUAUGUUUUAUUUUGUGUUGUAGGAGCUUUAGGACUAGGAUUAAGCAAUUUUGAUUAUGUUUUGGCCAAUUCUGCCUUCCCCAUCUCCUCUCCAUCUUUUAGUGACGCUUUUUAGUUUCAUGCUUGCUAAGAACAUCGGCGUACACCAUAUCCUAUCCUAUAAUAUUGUUAGACAAUGAUAGUUAGUUAUUAGGCCAGCUACAGAUAUGAUGCAACUGUUUUUCCUUGUGGUAGACUAAUAGGUACUUGAUUGCUUUCGAGUGGUAUGUACAAGCAUAUUAUAAAAUAUGCUACGUAUUCAUGGUCAUUACUAAGGCUACUAAACCCAGUUAGAUUUGUUCGUAACUUCAUAUUCACGAUUCUUCUGCUACAUUUACUUCUUUUUGCCACUUUCCGAUAUAUUUCCAGAUGCAUCUUUUUGCCGCUUUUCGAUAUAUUGCCAACUAUUUGAUGGAUUUAUAAUGAGAAAUUUUAGCAUCUGUAGAUCCAUGAAAACGCCCUCCUAAUUUUCACUGACGGAUUAUUGCAACAAGGUUGUAACUUGCUGAAUGCAAAGAGAAGCUCUCUCUAUGUGAAUUAUUGCCUAUUUGACUAGCCUACCAAUUCUGGGAUAUUACUUGGGACAUUGGGAGAGAGCAUGUUAAUUUGUUCGAUGAACAAUUAAGUAAGUUGCUAGACACUUGACAACUUGAUCAGAAGGAAUUGGACAGGUACAGUGAUAUGAGCAUAUAUGCAAUUUUUCCAAAUGCAGUUCGGAGAACGUCACCUAUUCUCACAAAACUUACUACGGCCUGGGGUUGGAGCAUUCACUCCCGUUGUUCACAACCUGUUCAAUGAGCAGUUGGAUCUCCAAUAAUAGGUAAUAUCAUCGCCACUGUUAGCAAUGGCAACUCUUACCAACAUUUUACUACGAGUAGAACUACAAAGUGAUGGUGGUGACAGUGCGUAUACCGAAAGCAAGAGCCAUUUAAAAGUUUGAUCUGCCUCAUUGUCAUCUGCUAAAGCUGCACUUUGUAUGCAUAAAUAUUUCAUUGAUUUCUAAGGUCUAAAAAAGCUUUUAUAACA